rnacentral:tRNA from 1 species
GCCUCACUGGCCCAAUUGGUAGGGCAUCCGGCUUCCACCCGGACGGUGCGAGUUCGAGUCUCGCGUGCGGCUC